CCCUUAGAUGUUCUGGGCCGCACGCGCGCUACACUGAUGCAUUCAACGAGUCUAAAACCUGGUCUGAUAGGGCUGGGUAAUCUUUUGAAAGUGCAUCGUGAUUGGGAUAGAUGAUUGCAAUUCUUCAUCUUCAACGAGGAAUGCCUAGUAAACGCAAGUCAUCAGCUUGCAUUGAUUACGUCCCUGCCCUUUGUACACACCGCCCGUCGCUCCUACCGAUUGGAUGAUCCGGUGAGCUAUUCGGACCUUCGCUUCGUCGAUUUUCGGCUUUGUGAGGGAAAGUCUCGCGAACCUUAUCAUCUAGAGGAAGGAGAAGUCGUAACA
rnacentral:rRNA from 1 species